AGAGCGAACGCUGGCGGCAGGCCUAACACAUGCAAGUCGAGCGCCCGUAGCAAUACGGGAGCGGCAGACGGGAUAGUAACACGUGGGAACGCGCCCUUCGGUUCGGAAUAACUCAGGGAAACUUGAGCUAAUACCGGAUACGCCCUUACGGGGAAAGAUUUAUUGCCGAAGGAACGGCCCGCGUCCGAUUAGCUAGUUGGUGAGGUAAUGGCUCACCAAGGCGACGAUCGGUAGCUGGUCUGAGAGGAUGACCAGCAUCACUGGGACUGAGACACGGCCCAGACUCCUACGGGAGGCAGCAGUGGGGAAUAUUGGACAAUGGGCGCAAGCCUGAUCCAGCCAUGCCGCGUGGAUGAUGAAGGCCCUAGGGUUGUAAAGCUCUUUUGUGCGGGAAGAUAAUGACGGUACCGCAAGAAUAAGCCCCGGCUAACUUCGUGCCAGCAGCCGC
rnacentral:rRNA from 1 species